rnacentral:lncRNA from 1 species
AAUAUAAUCUUUUAAGAUUAGAUAGAUUAGAUUAGAUAAAUUACAAUCAACUUCUAUGAUUAGACAAAUUAACAAUAAUUCUCGUCUGUCCCUCUGUCUAAAGUGAAAUUAAUUGUGUGAUUGUCUAUUUGUCUAUUAUGUCAUUUAUUUCUUGUCAAUUUGUUCGCGCCAAGUUUAUUGGAUUUUAGUGAGGUUAAAAACGCAGAACCCCGGCACGUCGCCGCCACUUUGGCGUGACUGGUAUUCUGAACUUGUACUUUGUACUUGUUUUGAUUCAUGUGAUUUGUUUAUCUGCUGUUAGUUCAUUAUUAUACGAUACUUUUCACACAAAGAUAACAGUGUGUGGUCUAUUCAGAACCAUGUGCCGGGAUAAUAUAUAGUAGGUAUAUAGUAUACUAUAGGUAUAUAGUAUAGUAUAGUAUAGUAUAUAUAUAUAUAUAUAGUAGGUAGGUAUACAAUGUCUUUUGCGCCCCAACUUUUUUUUUUAAAAACAAGAUCUGGCUGGUUUGGAGCCACAGAAGUAACCCAACUUUUGAAGAACAAAAAGCAUAAUUUUAUUAUAAAAUAAUAGAACAUUGGUUUUUAAUUGUGAAGGUUAUAUAAGUAGUAUUACUUUCCGAUUAUCAGAUGUGAAACUGUGAUAUACUUGUAAAGUAUCAGGUGGUACAGUUAGACGAACUUGCGGGCAGUACCCUGGCAGUGAUGUAGUGAAUAGUAGUUUUUUAUCUGUCCUCCGGUUUUUAUUAUUAUUUUUGUGACUGGUUAGAACUACUUUUAAGUAAUUAAAGUUGUAACCAUCUUUGCUUGCUUCCUGUCAAUAAAAUACGAUUUAAGAUUC